rnacentral:tRNA from 1 species
CUGGGUGUAGCUCAGUGGUAAAGCAUGUGUUUAGCAUGCUCAGGGCCCUGGAUUCAAUCAUUAGCACCAAAA